rnacentral:rRNA from 1 species
UAUAUUGACUGUACAAAGGUAGCAUAAUCAUUAGUUUUUUAAUUGAAAGCUGGAAUGAAUGGCUGAAUAAGGAAAUAACUGUCUCUUUUUAAUUAAGUUGAACUUUAUUUUUAAGUUAAAAAGCUUAAAUUUAAUAGAAAGACGAGAAGACCCUAUAGAGUUUAAUAAAUUAAUAUUUUUAUAGUUUAGGGUUUUAUUAUAUAGAAAUAUUUAUUUAUUUUGUUGGGGUGACAAUAGAAUUUAAUUAACUUCUGGUUUUUAAUCAUUGAUUUAUGAAUAUAUGAUCCUAAUAUUUAGAUUAUAAGAAUAAAUUACCUUAGGGAUAACAGCGUAAUUUUUUUGGAGAGUUCUUAUCGAUAAAAGAGAUUGCGACCUCGAUGUUGGAUUAAAGUUUAAUUUUGGUGUAGAAGCUAAAAUAUUAAGACUGUUCGAC